rnacentral:rRNA from 1 species
AUUGAACGCUGGCGGCAUGCUUUACACAUGCAAGUCGAACGGUAACAGGCCGCAAGGUGCUGACGAGUGGCGAACGGGUGAGUAAUGCAUCGGAACGUGCCCAGUCGUGGGGGAUAACUACUCGAAAGAGUAGCUAAUACCGCAUACGAUCUAUGGAUGAAAGCGGGGGACCGUAAGGCUUCGCGCGAUUGGUGCGGCCGAUGUUAGAUUAGGUAGUUGGUGGGGUAAAGGCUCACCAAGCCAACGAUUUGUAGCUGGUCUGAGAGGACGACCAGCCACACUGGGACUGAGACACGGCCCAGACUCCUACGGGAGGCAGCAGUGGGGAAUUUUGGACAAUGGGCGCAAGCCUGAUCCAGCAAUGCCGCGUGCAGGAAGAAGGCCUUCGGGUUGUAAACUGCUUUUGUACGGAACGAAACGGCUCUGGUUAAUACCCGGGGCUAAUGACGGUACCGUAAGAAUAAGCACCGGCUAACUACGUG